GGCUACGGCCACACCUCCUGAGCACGCCCGAUCUCGUCUGAUCUCGGAAGCUAAGCAGGGUCGGGCCCGGUUAGUACUGGAUGGAGACGCCUGGGAAUACCAGGUGCGGUAAGCC
rnacentral:rRNA from 1 species